rnacentral:rRNA from 1 species
GUGAUGGUGCUUGCACUAUCACUUAGCGGCGGACGGGUGAGUAAUGCUUAGGAAUCUGCCUAUUAGUGGGGGACAACAUCUCGAAAGGGAUGCUAAUACCGCAUACGUCCUACGGGAGAAAGCAGGGGAUCACUUGUGACCUUGCGCUAAUAGAUGAGCCUAAGUCGGAUUAGCUAGUUGGUGGGGUAAAGGCCUACCAAGGCGACGAUCUGUAGCGGGUCUGAGAGGAUGAUCCGCCACACUGGGACUGAGACACGGCCCAGACUCCUACGGGAGGCAGCAGUGGGGAAUAUUGGACAAUGGGGGGAACCCUGAUCCAGCCAUGCCGCGUGUGUGAAGAAGGCCUUAUGGUUGUAAAGCACUUUAAGCGAGGAGGAGGCUCUUUUGGUUAAUACCCAGAAUGAGUGGACGUUACUCGCAGAAUAAGCACCGGCUAACUCUGUGCCAGCAGCCGCGGUAAUACAGAGGGUGCAAGCGUUAAUCGGAUUUACUGGGCGUAAAGCGCGCGUAGGCGGCCAAUUAAGUCAAAUGUGAAAUCCCCGAGCUUAACUUGGGAAUUGCAUUCGAUACUGGUUGGCUAGAGUGUGGGAGAGGAUGGUAGAAUUCCAGGUGUAGCGGUGAAAUGCGUAGAGAUCUGGAGGAAUACCGAUGGCGAAGGCAGCCAUCUGGCCUAACACUGACGCUGAGGUGCGAAAGCAUGGGGAGCAAACAGGAUUAGAUACCCUGGUAGUCCAUGCCGUAAACGAUGUCUACUAGCCGUUGGGGCCUUUGAGGCUUUAGUGGCGCAGCUAACGCGAUAAGUAGACCGCCUGGGGAGUACGGUCGCAAGACUAAAACUCAAAUGAAUUGACGGGGGCCCGCACAAGCGGUGGAGCAUGUGGUUUAAUUCGAUGCAACGCGAAGAACCUUACCUGGCCUUGACAUAGUAGAAACUUUCCAGAGAUGGAUUGGUGCCUUCGGGAAUCUACAUACAAGGUGCUGCAUGGCUGUCGUCAGCUCGUGUC